AGCGAACGCUGGCGGCAGGCCUAACACAUGCAAGUCGAACGGAUCCUUCGGGAUUAGUGGCGGACGGGUGAGUAACACGUGGGAACGUGCCCUUUGGUUCGGAACAACUCAGGGAAACUUGAGCUAAUACCGGAUGUGCCCUUCGGGGGAAAGAUUUAUCGCCAUUGGAGCGGCCCGCGUCUGAUUAGCUAGUUGGUGAGGUAACGGCCCACCAAGGCGACGAUCAGUAGCUGGUCUGAGAGGAUGAUCAGCCACACUGGGACUGAGACACGGCCCAGACUCCCACGGGAGGCAGCAGUGGGGAAUCUUGCGCAAUGGGCGAAAGCCUGACGCAGCCAUGCCGCGUGAAUGAUGAAGGUCUUAGGAUUGUAAAAUUCUUUCAGCGGGGACGAUAAUGACGGUACCCGCAGAAGAAGCUCCGGCUAACUUCGUG
rnacentral:rRNA from 1 species